rnacentral:lncRNA from 1 species
CCUAUUCUAAUUACUUAAGACUAUCAGAUGAGUUCAAUCUUACUGAGCGAAGAUCGCAACUUAGCAGAGAUGCUUACUGGAAUGCUUUGUAUGCUGAAUGGGCUAAUCGGUUUGGAGAAAUUAUGCAACUUAUUAAGGACCUCUUUGCUGUGUCAUUCUCUAUUCCUCCAGUUCCUUUCACAUUUCCACCAGGAACCUCAAGAUUACUUGCGAGAGAGAUUAUUGCAAUGCGAAAAAUAGUUAAAAAAAUGCUGGUUCGCCGAGCUAGACACGCUAUGGUCUCACAUGCUAUCAGGUUCUUCAAAGAUAAUAACAUAGAUAUUAAUAGCAGCAUGUAUCAUUGUAUCGUAUCGUAUCCCGACUAUGCAUCGGACUUUUACCUAUCAGAUUCCGAAUGAUGUAUAAUAAUGGUAUUUACAAUACUACGAGUGUACACUUUUUAAUGCAGGGUUGGAAUCUUUAUAAUGUAUAUAAACCUUAUAUGGUAUUUCAACAUAUUGAGUUUAGAAUUUUCUCAUGCAUCUAAAACGUUAUUUUCAAUAUAAGUGUGCAACAAAUGUUCCCGUAUUUAUGUGUAAUUUCAGUAAGAUUCCCUAAUCUGAUGUUCUAUUGUAUGCAAAGUUAAUUAUAUUCAAUUAUAAGCAUUCCAGUUAAAUGGAAAACUUAUAGAACUGUUCCGUACACUUAUAGGGUAGGGUUUGCUUUUGUAGUUAUAGCUUAAUUUGGAAUAAACAGUGAGCGCAACGGAUCCUAUCAUCACUACUGUAGGAACAUCCAUAUAUAUGACAGUGCUAAGUAACUCUCGUAAAAAAAGCAAAGAGUUAUAGCUGUACCGAGGUGCAUCUAUAGCGGUGUAGGGCACAUCCAUAUAUGUAGUGGUAGGGUACAGCUAUCGUCAUAGACAGAAACGGAACACUUAUACUACGGUAGGGUACAGCUAUCGUCUUGGUUGGAACGCCCAUAUAUAUUACAGUGCUAAGUAACUUUCAAUAAAAAAGCCCUAACUAUAGCUGUACCAUGGUGCAUCUAUAAUGGUGUAGGGCACAUUCAUAUAUGUAGUAGUGACAGGGCUACUUUUAUCUGCCAACCUGAUUUUGCACAUCAUAGCCAGAAACGGAACACUUAUACUACGGUUGGGUACAGUUAUCGCCUUGGUUGGAACACCCAUAUAUAUGACAGUGCUAAGUAACUCUAAAAAAAAAA